UACAGAGGUCUCAAGCGUUGUUCGGAUUCAUUGGGCGUAAAGGGUGCGUAGGUGGCGCCGUAAGUCGGGUGUGAAAUUUCGGAGCUUAACUCCGAAACUGCAUUCGAUACUGCGGUGCUUGAGGACUGGAGAGGAGACUGGAAUUUAUGGUGUAGCAGUGAAAUGCGUAGAGAUCAUAAGGAAGACCAGUGGCGAAGGCGGGUCUCUGGACAGUUCCUGACGCUGAGGCACGAAGGCCAGGGGAGCAAACGGG
rnacentral:rRNA from 1 species